rnacentral:rRNA from 1 species
AGAAUCAACGCCGGCGGCGUGCCUAACACAUGCAAGUCGAACGAGAAAGUGGAGCAAUCCAUGAGUAAAGUGGCGCACGGGUGAGUAACACGUGACUAACCUACCCUUGAGUGGGGAAUAACUUCGGGAAACCGAGGCUAAUACCGCAUAACACCUACGGGUCAAAGGAGCAAUUCGCUUAAGGAGGGGGUCGCGGCAGAUUAGUUAGUUGGCGGGGUAAUGGCCCACCAAGACGGUGAUCUGUA